ACCACCUCCUCCCCUGCCUCCCCGGCGUCCGGCAGCACAGCCGAGCUGUUUGUGUCCCACCUGCAAAACGAAUCAUCCUCAUCAGGUCAAAUCUACACCUCCUUGUAUGACAAAAUGCCUCAAUGAGAUCUUACAUAGUUUCUUUUUCUUUAGGAUUGAGCUUUCCUUCUCUUACUUCAUACAGAUUCUUAGACACUACAAAGGACAACAUGUCCUCAAAGCAUUGACAAAAGGAAACAAUCAUACAAUUAAAGUACUUUUAGCACACGAUUCUGAAUCUUAUCAAAAGAAAGAAUUAGAUGCUGAGGC
rnacentral:lncRNA from 1 species